AUUAUUUUUUAAACAGAACUCACAUGCACCGACACAUGAUUCAGGGUGCCCGGGCGCUAUCAGCGAAAGUUGAUCAUCGGGUCGAAUUCAUGGGGUGUGUGGAGGCCUAAC
rnacentral:sRNA from 1 species